rnacentral:rRNA from 1 species
UGGCGGACGGGUGAGUAAUGUCUGGGAAACUGCCUGAUGGAGGGGGAUAACUACUGGAAACGGUAGCUAAUACCGCAUAACGUCGCAAGACCAAAGAGGGGACCUUCGGGCCUCUUGCCAUCGGAUGUGCCCAGAUGGGGUUAGCUAGUAGGUGGGGUAACGGCUCACCUAGGCGACGAUCCCUAGCUGGUCUGAGAGGAUGACCAGCCACACUGGAACUGAGACACGGUCCAG